UACGGGGGGGGCAAGCGUUGUUCGGAAUUACUGGGCGUAAAGGGCUCGUAGGCGGCCAACUAAGUCCGACGUGAAAUCCCCAGGCUUAACCUGGGAACUGCGUCGGAUUCUGGAUGGCUUGAAUCCGGGAGAGGGAUGCGGAAUUCCAGGUGUAGCGGUGAAAUGCGUAGAUAUCUGGAGGAACACCGGUGGCGAAGGCGGCAUCCUGGACCGGCAUUGACGCUGAGGAGCGAAAGCCAGGGGAGCAAACGGG
rnacentral:rRNA from 1 species